GUGCCAGCAGCCGCGGUAAGACGAACCGUGCGAACGUUGUUCGGAAUCACUGGGCUUAAAGGGCGCGUAGGCGGACCACCAAGUCCGGGGUGAAAUCCUCCGGCUUAACCGGAGAAUUGCCUGGGAUACUGGUGGUCUUGAGGGAGGUAGGGGCACGCGGAACUUCCGGUGGAGCGGUGAAAUGCGUUGAUAUCGGAAGGAACGCCGGUGGCGAAAGCGGCGUGCUGGCCCUCUUCUGACGCUGAGGCGCGAAAGCCAGGGGAGCGAACGGGAUUAGAAACCCUUGUAGUCC
rnacentral:rRNA from 1 species